ACCUCAUUGAUCAUCAAGGUAGAUUCAACUGAUCUGGUUGGCUA
rnacentral:sRNA from 1 species